rnacentral:rRNA from 1 species
GACGAACGCUGGCGGCGUGCUUAACACAUGCAAGUCGAACGGAAAGGCCCUGCUUUUGUGGGGUGCUCGAGUGGCGAACGGGUGAGUAACACGUGAGUAACCUGCCCUUGACUUUGGGAUAACUUCAGGAAACUGGGGCUAAUACCGGAUAGGAGCUCCUGCUGCAUGGUGGGGGUUGGAAAGUUUCGGCGGUUGGGGAUGGACUCGCGGCUUAUCAGCUUGUUGGUGGGGUAGUGGCUUACCAAGGCUUUGACGGGUAGCCUGAGAGGGUGACCGGCCACAUUGGGACUGAGAUACGGCCCAGACUCCUACGGGAGGCAGCAGUGGGGAAUAUUGCACAAUGGGCGGAAGCCUGAUGCAGCAACGCCGCGUGCGGGAUGACGGCCUUCGGGUUGUAAACCGCUUUCGCCUGUGACGAAGCGUGAGUGACGGUAAUGGGUAAAGAAGCACCGGCUAACUACGUG